AUACGGAGGGUGCAAGCGUUAUCCGGAUUCAUCGGGUUUAAAGGGUGCGCAGGCGGAUAAUUAAGUCAGUGGUGAAAUCCCGGGGCUCAACCCCGGAACUGCCAUUGAUACUGAUAAUCUGGAAUACGGUUGAAGUGGGCGGAAUGUAGCAUGUAGCGGUGAAAUGCAUAGAGAUGCUACAGAACACCGAUCGCGAAGGCAGCUCACUAAACCGAUAUUGACGCUCAGGCACGAAAGCGUGGGGAGCGAACAGGAUUAGAAACCCUAGUAGUCC
rnacentral:rRNA from 1 species